GUUAUUGUAGCUUACACUAAAGCAUGGCACUGAAGUUGCCACGAUGGGUAACCAAGAUACCCCAAAAACA
rnacentral:tRNA from 1 species